AUUCCGGUUGAUCCUGCCGGAGGUCAUUGCUAUCGGGGUCCGAUUUAGCCAUGCUAGUCGCGCGGGUUAGACCCGCGGCGUAUAGCUCAGUAACACGUGGCCAAACUACCCUACAGACGGGAACAACCUCGGGAAACUGAGGCUAACUCCCGAUACGCGUCGACUGUUUGAAUACACCGACGCUCAAACGCUCCGGCGCUGUAGGAUGUGGCUGCGGCCGAUUAGGUAGACGGUGGGGUAACGGCCCACCGUGCCAAUAAUCGGUACGGGUUGUGAGAGCAAGAGCCCGGAGACGGAAUCUGAGACAAGAUUCCGGGCCCUGACGGGGCGCAGCAGGCGCGAAACCUUUAACUGCACGCCAGUGCGAUAAGGGGACCCCGAGUGAAAGGGCAUAUCGCCCUUUCUUUUCUGAACCGUAGGGAGGUUCAGGAACAAGAGCUGGGCAAGACCGGUGCCAGCCGCCGCGGUAAUACCGGCAGCUCGAGUGAUGACCGAUCUUAUUGGGCCUAAAGCGUCCGUAGCUGGCCGCGCAAGUCCGUCGGGAAAUCCACCCGCUUAACGGGUGGGCGUCCGGCGGAAACUGCACGGCUUGGGACAGGAAGGCUCGAGGGGUACGUUCGGGGUAGGAGUGAAAUCCCGUAAUCCUGAACGGACCGCCGAUGGCGAAAGCACCUCGAGAGGACUGAUCCGACAGUGAGGGACGAAAGCUGGGGUCUCGAACCGGAUUAGAUACCCGGGAUAGUCCCAGCCGUAAACGAUGUUCGCUAGGUUGACACUCACUACGAGUGAGUGUUGUGCCGCAGGGAAGCCAGCUAAGCGAACCGCCUGGGAAGUACGUCCCAAGGAUGAAACUUAAAGGAAUUGGCGGGGGAGCACUACAACCGGAGGAGCCUGCGGUUUAAUUGGACUCAACGCCGGUAACCUUACCAGCCCCGACUACGGUGAUGACGGCCAGGUUGAUGACCUCGUCACGACGCCGUAGAGAGGUGGUGCAUGGCCGCCGUCAGCUCGUACCGU
rnacentral:rRNA from 2 species